GACGAACGCUGGCUGCGUGCUUAACACAUGCAAGUCGAACGCUGAAACCCUGGUGCUUGCACCGGGGUGGAUGAGUGGCGAACGGGUGAGUAACACGUGAGUAACCUGCCCCCGACUUCGGGAUAAGCCCGGGAAACUGGGUCUAAUACCGGAUAUGAGCGCCCCUCGCAUGAGGGAUGCUGGAAAGUCUUUUCGGUUGGGGAUGGGCUCGCGGCGUAUCAGUUUGUUGGUGAGGUAAUGGCUCACCAAGACGACGACGGGUAGCCGGCCUGGGAGGGCGACCGGCCACACUGGGACUGAGAAACGGCCCAGACUCCUACGGGAGGCAGCAGUGGGGAAUAUUGCACAAUGGGGGAAACCCUGAUGCAGCGACGCAGCGUGCGGGAUGACGGCCUUCGGGUUGUAAACCGCUUUCAGCAGGGAAGAAGCCCCUUGGGGUGACGGUACCUGCAGAAGAAGUACCGGCUAACUACGUGCCAGCAGCCGCCGUAA
rnacentral:rRNA from 1 species